GACGAACGCUGGCGGCGUGCCUAACACAUGCAAGUCGAACGGAAAGGCCCUGCUUUUGUGGGGUGCUCGAGUGGAGAACGGGUGAGUAACACGUGAGUAACCUGCCCUUGACUUUGGGAUAACUUCAGGAAACUGGGGCUAAUACCGGGUAGGAGCUCCUGCCUCAUGGUGGGGGUUGGAAAGUUUCGGCGGUUGGGGUUGGACUUGCGGCUCAUCGGCUUGUUGGUGGGGUAGUGGCUUACCAAGGCUUUGCCGGGUAGCCGGCCUGACAGGGUGAACAGGCACAUUGGGACUGGGAUACGGCCCAGACCCCAACGGGAGGGAGCAGUGGGGAAGGUGACACAAUGGGAGGAAGCCUGAUGCAGCAACGCCGCGUGCGGGAUGACGGCCAUCGGGUUGUAAACCGCUUUCGCCUGUGACGAAGCGUGAAUGACGGUAAUGGGUAAAGAAGCACCGGCUAACUACGUG
rnacentral:rRNA from 1 species